UGCCACUCUCCUCUCUCUAUCCCUUCAUUAGACCAUUGUGUAAUUUAAAAGAAUAGGUUAUAAAUUUCUUUUCAAGAUACAGUCAACAAAAUGAAAAGGCAACCUAUGGAACGGGAGAAAAUAUUUGCAAAUCAUAUAUCUGAUAAGGAGUUAAUAUCAAAAAUGUAUAAGGAACUUACAAAACUCAAUAGCAAAAAAGCAAAUAACCCAAUUUUAAAAUGUGCAAAGGACCUGAAUAGACAUUUCUCCAAAGAAGACAUGCAAAUGGCCAACAAGUGUGUGACGGGGCCCAACAUCACUGAUUAGUGAUACUGAUCACUGCACUCCAGGCUGGGCGGCAGAGCGAAACUCCGUCUUAAAAAAAAAAAAAAAAGACUUGGGAGGCCGAGACAGGAGGAUCAUGAGGUCAAGAGAUCAAGACCAUCCUGGCUAACACGAUGAAACCCCGUCUUUACUAAAAAAAUACAAAAAACUAGCCGGGUGAGGUGGCGGGUGCCUGUAGUCCCAGCUACUCAGGAGGCUGAGGCGUAAACCUGGGAGGCGGAGCUUGCAGUGAGCUGAGAUCCGGCCACUGCGCUCCAGCCUGGGCAACAGAGCAAGACUCCGUCUCAAAAAAAAAAAGACGAGAGAUAACAAAUGCUGACAAGGAAGUGGAGAAAAGAGAACCCUUGUAUACUGUUGGUGAAAAGGUAGAUUGGAAGAGCCAUGAUGGAAUACAGUAAAAAAUUAAAAUUAAAACAGAACUACCAUGCAAUCCAGCAAUCCCACAUCUGGAUGUAUAUCCAGAGGAAAUGAAAUCAGUGUCUUGGAGGAUAUCUGUACUAGCAUGUUCACUGCAGCAUUAUUCACAAUAGCCAAGAUUAGGAAGCAACCUGAGUGUGCGUCAGCAGGUGAAUGGAUAAAGACCAGGUGUGCGUGCUGACUGGGGAUUCUAAAAUUAUGGGAAAACUGGAAAAUCGAUAUUAGGGGACCAUCUGCCCCUUUGGCCAUGCCCUCUCUGCUUCCUGUAUAUGAAACUCACCUUAUCCCUAAGGGAGACCACUGUAAAAGUUCUAACUACUUGCAGCAUUCAGCUCAAAAUUUAGGUUCUCUGACUUAUAUGCAGUUUGCUCCUUCGGGUCCAGAGGUAGAUCAUUGUGGUCCAGUGACUUAUAAAAGAUUUGUCAUUCAUCCUCCAACCAACUCAGUGUACACUAGUUUAAUCCAAUGACUUACAAACUAAAACAUAUUGUGUGUCCCAAACAUACAAAGAAAGAGUAAGGGCCAGGCGUGGUGGCUCACGCCUAUAAUCCCUGCACUUUGGGAGACUGAGGUGGGCGGACCGCCUGAGGUUGGGAGUUAGAGACAAGCCUGACCAACAUGGAGAAACCCCAUCUCUACUAAAAAUACAAAAUUAACCGGGCGUGGUGGUGCACGCCUGUAAUCCCAGCUACUCGGGAGGCUGAGGCAGGAGAAUCGCUUGAACCCAGGAGGUGGAGGUUUCAGUGAGCCGAGAUUGUGCCAUUGCACUCCAGCCUGGGCAAAAAGAGUGAAACUCUGUCUCAAAAAAACAAAACAGAACAAAAGAGUAUGAAUCGGGUAAAUAAAACAAAGACCCCUAUUUCGACCCAAUCUCUAGUCUAUGGCACUUGCCAAAUCCUAUUGAGCAUAAAUAGUGAAGUCCCCUUUCCUGGCAGUGCCCGCUCUGUUUUCUGGAAUGUUCCUCCUUGUCUGUUACACUUCGUGUCCACAUCUAGGAAGACACUGGAGAGGAAACUUCUUGGAGGCUGCACAGUUUCUUCUAUGGGAUCAAAUGCUUACUGGCUUUUGUAGGGAUUAGGAGCUGAAUUGUCAGGAUUUGACAAACUAGAUUGUAGUUUCUUUGGUGAUAUGAUUUCUCCAAAUUUUCAGCUAGAAGUGACCUUCUAGCUUCAUAACAUGAGUUGGGAAGUUUUCUGCCUCCUGUUUCCUGAAAUGUUUAUGUAGAAUUAGUAUUAUUUCUUCCUUAAAUAUUUGCUAGAAUUCACCA
ensembl:lncRNA